rnacentral:rRNA from 1 species
GAGACCCUUGCCACUAGUUGCUAUUCUUUCUCGCAAGGGAAAGGAAGGAAGUUAGUGGGACUGCCGCCGUUCAAGGCGGAGGAAGGGGAGGGCUACGGCAGGUCAGUAUGCCCCGAAACCCCUGGGCCACACGCGGGCUGCAAUGGUAGGGACAGAGGGCAUCCAACUCCGAGAGGAGAAGGCAAACCCUAAACCCUAUCCCAGUUGUGAUUGAGGGUUGCAACCCACCCUCUUGAAUAUGGAAUCCCUAGUAACCGCGUGUCACUACCGCGCGGUGAAUAC